AAAAAAAAAAAUGUUUUCAGACAAUGUUUGGAGUCAAUAAAAAAACUAUUUUUGCCUUGACGACUAUCUGUCUUAUUAAGAUUCUCAGGUAACAGUUUAAUAUUAGAGUUUGAAGUGCAUUCAGUUACCAUGUAAUGAAACCUGCUUCCUCAGGAUGCCGUCUGUGCUGUCUCGAUGGGUUGGGAUGUGAGUUUUGAAGCAGCACAGACCUGUGUUGGAAUUUCACCUCCAUGACCUCCUCGCUUCGUGGGUUUCAACAAGUGACAUUAAUUCUCGGUUUCAUUUCCUUCAUAUGUAAACGUCGAGGUGGUAACAGCAGUCUUGCAGAGCUCUGUUCACAAUGAAAUGGAAGACCAGCAACUCCUAGCGUGCCCAGCACAGUGGAAGGUUACCUAGAUUCAGAAUUUUUUUGACUCUGAUGCAUAAGAGAUGAAAAACAGAUGAAGUGAGCCCUGUAUUUGCCACAAUUCACCAUAGGAAAAUCCUGGAACAAACAUACCAGAUUCCAUUCACAGAUUCCAAGAUCUGUGAUCUACACUGGGAAAAAUGACCGCCCCUCGUGAAGUUUUGUCACUGACCUCUCGUGGACUUUAGCUCUCCAUCUCUGCUGAGGAGAUAUGAAAGCAUUCGCAUUUCUCCUGUUAAGGAAGGGAUCUUAGAACAGAAAAUAAAUAAAUGCAGUUUUAGUAACACGUAGCUGAAAAUAUUUAUGAAUAUUCCGUGACACAAAUAUAUUUGAAAGUGCCUUAAUUUCUGCAAUUCAUUUAACCAGAGAUUGGCAAAAAUCAAAGGAGCGUAUAAAAUAGAUUUCAUUACCUUCCUGAUCAAGUCUCUAUGUGUCUUAGAGACUGGUCAUGUAGGUUUUGUUGGUUUUGCCUUUGGACAAUCACUCUGCCUUUCUUAAUCUACAUAUUUCUAUUUGGUAUGUUUUAAAUUCCUUUUGAGGAGAAAUCCUCUGUCCUGAGGAUUUAUGAAGCAUAACUCUAGAUUGCCAGUGAAUGAACAGUCGAGACACUAUAAAAAUAACGAAUAAAUUAAAAACCAGAGUGAUAGGCCAUUUCCUCCUAUGCUCAGUCUUUUUUUUUUUGAGACGGAGUUUUGCUCUUGUUACCCAGACUGGAGUGCAAUGGCGCGAUCUCGGCUCACCGCAACCUCCGCCUCCUGGUUGAGGCAAUUCUCCUGCCGCAGCCUCCCAAGUAGCUGGAAUUACAGGCAUGCGCCACCAUGCCCAGCUAAUUUUUUGUAUUUUUAGUAGAGACGGGGUUUCACCAUGUUGACCAGGAUGGUCUCGAGCUCUCGACCUCGUGAUCCACCCGCCUCGGCCUCCCAAAGUGCUGGGAUUACAGGCUUGAACCAC